AAAGCUCAAAUUUAAAAUCUGGCAGCUUCGCUGUCCGAGUUGUAAUUUAGAGAAGUGUUACCCGUGUUGGACCGUGUAUAAGUCUCCUGGAAUGGAGCGUCAUAGAGGGUGAGAAUCCCGUCUUUGACACGGACUACCAAUGCAUUGUGGUGCGCUCUCGAAGAGUCGAGUUGUUUGGGAAUGCAGCUCUAAAUGGGUGGUAAAUUCCAUCUAAAGCUAAAUAUUGGCGAGAGACCGAUAGCGAACAAGUACCGUGAGGGAAAGAUGAAAAGAACUUUGGAAAGAGAGUUAAACAGUACGUGAAAUUGCUGAAAGGGAAACGCUUGAAGUCAGUCGCGUUGGCCGGGGAUCAGCCUUGCUUUUGUGAGGUGUACUUCCUGGUUGACGGGUCAGCAUCAGUUUCGACCAUUGGAAAAAGACUUGGGGAAUGUGGCAACUUCGGUUGUGUUAUAGCCCUUUGUCGUAUACAGUGAUUGGGACUGAGGAACUCAGCACGCCGCAAGGCCGGGUUUCGACCACGUUCGUGCUUAGGAUGCUGGCAAAAUGGCUUUAAUCGACCCGUCUUGAAACACGGACCAAGGAGUCUAACAUGCUUGCGAGUGUUUGGGUGGAAAACCCGAGCGCGUAAUGAAAGUGAAAGUUGGGAUCUCUGUCGUGGAGAGCACCGACGCCCGGACCAGAAGUUUACUGACGGAUCUGCGGUAGAGCACGUAUGUUGGGACCCGAAAGAUGGUGAACUAUGCCUGAAUAGGGUGAAGCCAGAGGAAACUCUGGUGGAGGCUCGUAGCGAUUCUGACGUG
rnacentral:rRNA from 1 species